rnacentral:rRNA from 1 species
AGAGUUUGAUCCUGGCUCAGAAUGAACGUUGGCGGCGUGGAUUAGGCAUGCAAGUCGAACGGGCCGCAAAGGCCAGUGGCGCGAGGGUGAGUUAGGCGAUGGCAACCAACCCCGCGAAUGGGGAUAGCCACGGGAAACUGUGGGUAAUACCCAGCGAUGUUUGAUGAGGGCAUCUUCGUCAAACCAAAGGUGCGAGUCCGUCGCGGGACGGGCCAUCGUGAUAUUAGAUAGUUGGCGGGGUAACGGCCCACCAAGUCAGCGAUGUCUACCGGGCGUGCGAGCGUGGCCCGGCACACUGGGACUGAGACACUGCCCAGACUCCUACGGGAGGCUGCAGUCGAGAAUCUUCGGCAAUGGGCGCAAGCCUGACCGAGCGACGCCGCGUGGAGGAUGAAGGCCCUCGGGUUGUAAACUCCUGUCGAGGGGGAUGAAGGGCCUGCGAAGAGCAGGUCUUGACCGAACCCUGGAGGAAGCACGGGCUAAGUUCGUGCCAGCAGCCGCGGUAAGACGAACCGUGCGAACGUUAUUCGGAAUCACUGGGCUUAAAGCGCGUGUAGGCGGGCAGGCGCGUCGUACGCUGAAAGCCUCCGGCUCAACCGGAGAAUCGGCGGCGAUACGGCCGGCCUUGAGGAACGCAGGGGAACCUGGAACUUCCGGUGGAGCGGUGAUAUGCGUUGAGAUCGGAAGGAACGCCCGUGGCGAAAGCGAGGUUCUGGACGUUUACUGACGCUGAGACGCGAAAGCCAGGGGAGCAAACGGGAUUAGAUACCCCGGUAGUCCUGGCUGUAAACGAUGAGCACUUGGCAGCGGAUUCGUCGAUGGAUUCGCUGCCGCAGGGAAACCGUGAAGUGCUCCGCCUGGGGAGUAUGGCCGCAAGGCUGAAACUCAAAGGAAUUGACGG